rnacentral:rRNA from 1 species
UGGGGAAUAUUGCACAAUGGGCGCAAGCCUGAUGCAGCCAUGCCGCGUGUAUGAAGAAGGCCUUCGGGUUGUAAAGUACUUUCAGCGGGGAGGAAGGUGUUGUGGUUAAUAACCACAGCAAUUGACGUUACCCGCAGAAGAAGCACCGGCUAACUCCGUGCCAGCAGCCGCGGUAAUACGGAGGGUGCAAGCGUUAAUCGGAAUUACUGGGCGUAAAGCGCACGCAGGCGGUCUGUCAAGUCGGAUGUGAAAUCCCCGGGCUCAACCUGGGAACUGCAUCCGAAACUGGCAGGCUUGAGUCUUGUAGAGGGGGGUAGAAUUCCAGGUGUAGCGGUGAAAUGCGUAGAGAUCUGGAGGAAUACCGGUGGCGAAGGCGGCCCCCUGGACAAAGACUGACGCUCAGGUGCGGAAGCGUGGGGAGCAAACA